rnacentral:rRNA from 1 species
CAAUAGCGUAUACUAAAGUUGUUGCGAUUAAAAAGCUCGUAGUUGAAUCUCAGGCAUGGGCGCACGGUCCGCCUCGCGGCGGUCACUGUGUGUUUUGUUUCCCAUCCUACGCUUCCCGGUUAUCAGCCCAUGGUGCUCUUCACUGAGCGUUUUGGGUGGCCGGAACGUUUACUUUGAAGAAAUUAGAGUGUUCAAAGCAGGCACGUCGCCUGAAUAAUGGUGCAUGGAAUAAUGGAAUAGGACCUCGGUUCUAUUUUGCUGGUUUUCGGAACACGAGGUAAUGAUUAAGAGGGACAGACGGGGGCAUCCGUAUUGCGGUGUUAGAGGUGAAAUUCUUGGAUCAUCGCAAGACGAACAACUGCGAAAGCAUUUGCCAAGCAUGUUUUCAUUAG